CAGUAGGAGUUCGGCUCCCGUAAGAGCUCAGACGAAGUCUACCUGUAGUAGGAGUUCGGGGAAGGAGUCCGGCUCCUGUAAAAGCUCAGAUGAAAUUUGAAAGGCGGUCGACCACCAUAGAAACUUGGAUGGAGUCCGCCCGUCGUGGAGAUCUGCUAUUGGGAAAGUUUCGCCACUGACAAACUGACGAAGUUCUGGAAGAAAUUCGGAUUGGAGUCGAUCGAAUCCUGGUGGAAA
rnacentral:lncRNA from 1 species